rnacentral:tRNA from 1 species
UGCAUUAGUAGCUCAGCACCAGAGCGCCG